rnacentral:pre_miRNA from 1 species
GGUUUGUCAGGCAGUCUUCUUGGCUAUGCUGACAGACUCUUUUCAUUCAUGUUAAGCUUUCUUUUCCUCGAAAUCACGAUUUAUAAAAAGCACAUAUAUAUACGGGAGGAAGGAGGGUCUUACAUGAAGAAAAGAGUGUAUUGUUUGCUAGCCAAGGAUGACUUGCCUGCAGCU